UCAUACAUAUUUAGAUUUUAUGUCAAAGUCUUUCUUUCAUUCUUAACUGCGUGUAUGAGAGUAAAUCCUUGUGAACUAAGAAUAGACAUACGGGUGUAUGAUUUUGUACUAUGCAAUUGUGAUUUUGUACUAUGCAUUUGCUUUUCUAACAAUUGAUGCAACAAUGACGGGGGAGUUGAUCCAUCUGUUGGUAUAUCAGAAAUUAGGAAAGCCUAUAGAAAAGCUGCGCUCAAGCAUCACCCUGAUAAGGCUGGGCAAUCACUGGCUACAAAUGACAAUGCGGAUGAUGGACUGUGGAAAGAAAUAGCAGAAGAAGUCCAUAAAGAUGCUGACAGGCUCUGUAAAGUGAUAGGAGAGGCCUAUGCAGUGCUUUCAGACUCUGCAGAGUGCUCACGUUAUGACCUUGAAGAAGAGAUGAGAAAUAGUCAAAGCAGAGGCAAUGAGAGCAGCACAUUUAGAACGCACACGGAGUUUAAUACUUCUCACUUUGAGAGAAGUGGAAGUACAGGCCACUGGGAAGAUGUUUGGAGAGCAUAUAAGAGUACCCAGUCCAGAGAAUCAGACAGAAAUAGAGCAAACUGGUAGUUGUGAUGAACUUGCGGUACUUUGAGCUUCAUACAAUUUGAUGCACCUUGUGUUCAGCAUUCUGCUUGCGUGUAUAGUCUGUAGUCACUGCCUUACAUGGAAGAAAUGACUUGCAGAACUUAAAAGAACAGUCAUGAAAUUUGUGGAUGAAGUAUUCAACAUACUGACACCUUGACCUUGGCCUUCCAUAUUUUGCACUUCCUGACUAGUCAUUCGAGCAGGUGCACGAAAAAAAACUGUUGCAUAAACCUUGUUUGAGGAUUCUCAACAGUGGGUUUUUGAAGCUUGGAGAGAGAUUAGCAUCAAGCCGAACUCAUGAAUACAGAUAUGUUUAGGCAACAAACAAGGAAGGCCUUCAUGAUUGCUGUUGUAUAGUUAUCGAACGUGUAUUAGUACAGAAGCUGUUCAUGGCCCUGGAAACCUUGCUAGUUUUGGUGCUAGCAGAGACCAACUCAAUAGUUUGAGGAGGAUGCUGUGGAUGACUAAUUUUGCUGAGUCAAAUAUCUAUCAUUUGCUAUUCUAAUGUAGUUCUAUACCUGUAAUAUCGUUUGUGUACAGAAGUGUGUGUGUGUGUGUAUUUGAAAAGUCCUAAAAAUGAUAAAGAGUGAGGUUACUUUUCUUUUUUGAUCUUUCUUCUUUUUCAUUAUCUUGAUUGUGGGUGGGGUUUUCUGUUAUUGUAAUACACUAAAGUCAAUUAUUUUUUGAUCAAUGUGA